GCCGACCUUCGGGGCGGUUUACUCAAUUCAGGCGCAAGUCUGAAAUACAACGGAAGACAGAUA
rnacentral:ncRNA from 1 species